UUAAUUAGGAUUCCAACCAAAUAACUCCCCUCCCAAAAUUUUAAUCACUUGCUUUUCACCGGCUCCCCUACGUCUAACCAUUCAAAGAAAUCUGCCCCCAUACGUUUGAUCUGAUCGAAGAACUAAGCCUCUUGCGGAAGCAGAACCUUCAUCAAAGCUCACUGUCACUACACUUUCCACAUCGAGACACAAAACCCCCAAAUUCUCAUAAUUAGGGUUCCUAAUCGCCAUGGAAAUCCACUCGUAAGAUAAACCCGAAGCAGUUCUUGAAUAAAGCUGUACUGAAUCUACAGAUUAACAUUCUUGAAUAAAAUGUGCAAAAACCGGUGGCUAAAUGGUGGCAAUAGCGGUGGCUAAAUGGUGACAAUAUCGGUGGCUAAAUGGUAUAAAACGUGCAAAAACUGAUGGUUAAAUGGUGGCAAAUCAGUGGCUAAAUGGUAUAAAAACGCGUCACAACUCGGUGGCAAACAAGGCGGACGUAGCAAACAUGAAGCGGUGGCAAAUAAUUUUGACCAAUUUUGUGGUGGUAAAAUAAGGUAGCAAAAUAUAAAAUGGUGGCAACUUGGUGGCAUUAGGGCAAUUGACACGGGUGUUUUUGUCACCGUAUUUUCGAUGGCAAACUGGUGACAAUAAGGAAAUUGCUACCAUUUUGUAACCAAAAA